GCCGGGCACGGUGGAGUGUGCCUGUAGUCCCAGCUACUCGGGAGGCUGAGGCUGGAGGAUUGCUUGAGUCCAGUUCUGGUCUGUAGUGUGCUAUGCUGAUCGGGUGUCCACAUUAAGUUCAACAUCAAUACGGUGACCUCCUGGGCGCAGGGAACCACCAGGUUGCCUAAGGAGGGGUAAACUGGCCCAGGUCAGAAACGGAGCAGGUCAAAACUCCUGUUGUGAUCAGUAGUGGGAUCAUGCCUGUGAAUAGCUACUGCACUCCAGCCUGGGCAACAUAGCAAGACCCCAUCUCUA
ensembl:misc_RNA Metazoa_SRP Metazoan signal recognition particle RNA